UACGUAGGAGGCAAGCGUUGUCCGGAAUUACUGGGCGUAAAGCGCGUGUAGGUGGUGGGACAAGUCUGCUGUGAAAGCGCCUGGCUUAACCGGGCGAGGUCGGCGGAAACUGUUCGACUCGAGGACGGUAGAGGGGGGUGGAAUUCCCGGUGUAGUGGUGAAAUGCGUAGAGAUCGGGAGGAACACCUGUGGCGAAAGCGGCUUCCUGGUCCAGCACCGACGUUCAGGCACGAAAGCGUGGGGAGCAAACAGG
rnacentral:rRNA from 1 species